GACGAACGCUGGCGGCGCGCUUAACACAUGCAAGUCGAGCGAUGAAAUUUCGACAGAUCCCUUCGGGGUGAAGAUGAAAUGGAUUAGCGGCGGACGGGUGAGUAACACGUGAGUAACCUGCCUUUGACAUUGGGAUAGCCUCGGGAAACUGGGAUUAAUACCAAAUGACACUAACUGAUCACAUGAUCAAUUAGUCAAAGAAAUUCGGUCAAAGAUGGACUCGCGGCUGAUUAGCUAGUUGGUGAGGUAACGGCCCACCAAGGCGACGAUCAGUAGCCGGCCUGAGAGGGUGAUCGGCCGCAUUGGAACUGAGACACGGUCCAAACUCCUACGGGAGGCAGCAGUGGGGAAUAUUGCACAAUGGGGGAAACCCUGAUGCAGCGACGCCGCGUGAGCGAAGAAGGCCUUCGGGUCGUAAAGCUCUUUUAUGAGGGAAGAUAAUGACGGUACCUCAAGAAAAAGCCCCGGCUAACUACGUG
rnacentral:rRNA from 1 species